GCGUUCACCUAUGAUGCAAUGACAGCUCCUCGAGAUUGCGGCUGAAUCGGCUCUUGCUCGGUGUAAGGGACUAUUCAUUGCGGGGUUUUAACGGAAAAAAACAACAUUAACCAUUUUUUCAGACACAUCAAAGCGGCCAUCUGGUUAAAUUCAAGGAGGCUGCCCCUUUUUUCCUGCACUUCCUUUACUGCUCUCAGCGGGUCCCCUUCAUUUUCUGUCCUCCUUUCGCCCUGCAGGUUCUCCUGCAGAGUGAGACUCUCACAAGAAUGUGUCUAAUUUAGUGACUAAGAGGCAGAUUUAUACCUGUGCUAGUUAUGAAGAAGGUUGCUCCCCUGAGAAGCCCAAUGACUGUUUACGGGCAGCCCAACAAUGCCUUAGCAGAUGAUAAAGCACCUGCCAUGUCUGUUCCAUCCCUUUAUGUCCGUCGGCUCGCCUCCCUUUCCUCUCACUUUCUCUCUCUCUCGUUGUCUUCCUCUGCUCAGCCCAUCACUUCUUCCUCUCUCUUUGUUAUUUUUCUCAGCGGAGGCGCAUCUCCCUCAGUUACCAUGGAGUCGCGCAUUUUACAACCACUGCUUUCCCCAGAGAGAUUCUGGUGGUGGCAACAGCCCAUCCAUCAACAUCCCUAA
rnacentral:lncRNA from 1 species